AUGUACCAGGUGGGAAGACUUCUACCCUCCCUCAGCCCCAGGCUGCCUUUCCUGAAGAGCUCUGCAUUGCAACCCAGAAACUUUCCAGGACCUGGGAACCGCAGAGGGGCAGAGGCUGGGAGCAGACACGAUGUGCCAUCUUCUGUGCCCAUCUCUGUGAUGGGAGCGUUGGUCUGUGCAAACGCUUGCAUGUCUGCACAAGUGUGCGUGCAGCUACAAGUGUCUUUUGCAGUGCAAAGCAAUGUGCUUCUGCAGGGUUUCUGUGCACUCGCCUAUCUUGUGCAGGUGUGCACACGUGCAUGCAAGUGCCCAUGCAAGGACUUCUGUUUCCAUCUGAGUUGCCAUCGAGUGUGCCCUGGAACUCAAAAGACCUGCUCAGACCGGGGCUCAUGUUCAACCAGGAGCGCCAGGUCCUCUUCUGCCGAACUACUUUCCAGCCGGUUGGCGUGUAGUGGCCUCCCGGGGAAGGAAGGUGUCACGGAGGCAGAGAGCAGCAGAGGCUCCGAGUACUCGGGUGUUAGGACAGGUGCUCGUGGCAGGGCGCUCUGGAGCUGCUGCGGUCGUCUGUCCCGCUCGUCGGCGCAGCCCGCCGUUACUGUGCGCAGACGGGGCCGCCGCGCGGUGCAGCUCGAGUCGCGGUCGCCGCCAGCACGGACGCGCGCGCUGCCCUCGGGUGACGGGAGCGCAGAACGGCAGCCAGGCGGAGAACGCAUGCGCACUGGGCUCGCCGCGCUCCCUGCUGCCCUCGAGCGUCGCAAAAGCAGCACUGCACUCGUGACCGCGCGCAUGCGCACGGCGUCCCGCCGGGCUCUCCUGCCCUCGGGUGGGGAAACGCAGUACUGCGCCCAAAGGGGGCGCGCAUGCGCACCGCGUUCCAGUGUGCUCGCUCCUGCCAGCGGGUGGCGAAAAAGAAGUGCUGUGGCCAACAAGACAGUGCAUGCGCACUGCGUUCCCGCAUGCUCAGCACUGCCACCGAGCAUCGAAAACUCAGUACUGCACAUGAAACGCGCGCACACACUCUGCCUUCUGCUGUACUUGGUGCCACCUUCGAGUGUUGAAAACCCAGCACUGUGCCUGUAA
rnacentral:lncRNA from 1 species